rnacentral:misc_RNA from 1 species
CAAGUUCUCAACCACAACCAAUUUCUUGGCUGUGGCUUGGAUGUGGGGGAUUUCUUCAUUUGCAGGCCCAUUAUUAAUGGUCUGCUCCCCUGAAACACAUUAGUGGUUCUUACUACUGUUGGGUGUGAUAAAUUAUCUAUGCCCCUCAGGUAUGCUGUGAACCGCUUCUAACAAUAAUUGAAAUAUUAUGAUGA